GACGAACGCUGGCGGCGUGCUUAACACGUGCAAGUCGAACGGAAAGGCCCUGCUUUUGUGGGGUGCUCGAGUGGCGAACGGGUGAGUAACACGUGAGUAACCUGCCCUUGACUUUGGGAUAACUUCAGGAAACUGGGGCUAAUACCGGAUAGGAGCUCCUGCUGCAUGGUGGGGGUUGGAAAGUUUCGGCGGUUGGGGAUGGACUCGCGGCUUAUCAGCUUGCUGGUGGGGUAGUGGCUUACCAAGGCUUUGACGGGUAGCCGGCCUGAGAGGGUGACCGGCCACAUUGGGACUGAGAUACGGCCCAGACUCCUACGGGAGGCAGCAGUGGGGAAUAUUGCACAAUGGGCGGAAGCCUGAUGCAGCAACGCCGCGUGCGGGAUGACGGCCUUCGGGUUGUAAACCGCUUUCGCCUGUGACGAAGCGUGAGUGACGGUAAUGGGUAAAGAAGCACCGGCUAACUACGUG
rnacentral:rRNA from 1 species